rnacentral:rRNA from 1 species
GACGAACGCUGGCGGCGUGCCUAAUACAUGCAAGUAGGACGCAGUUGCGAACGGGUGAGUAACGCGUAGGUAACUACCUAUUAGAGGGGGAUAACUAUUGGAAACGAUAGCUAAUACCGCAUACUAGUAGAUGGACCUGCGUUGUAUUAGCUAGUAGGUAGGGUAAUGGCCUACCUAGGCAACGAUACAUAGCCGAGCUGGGAGGGGGAUCGGCCACACUGGGACUGGGACACGGCCCAGACUCCUUCGGGGAGGAGCAGUAGGGGAUCGUCGGCAAUGGGGGGAACGCUGACCCGGCAACGCCGGGUGAGUGAAGAAGGGUUUCGGAUCGUAAAGCUCUGUUGGUAAGGAAGCGGUACUUAACCAGAAAGGGACGGCUAACUACGUGCCAGCAGCCGCGGUAAUUC